rnacentral:lncRNA from 1 species
UUGUGUAAAAUUACAAUUUUUUCCUUAGCCCUAAUUUCAAUUCCCUUUCUACUUUUUUUCGCACAAAGUUUGGAAGCUCCAGCCCACCUUCCCCACGACACCACCGGUGCCCAAGCUCCAGCCACCGUCGCCCCAAGCCACCCACCACCGUUCAGCCCCAUCCUUCAUCACCGGCGCAAUAUUGGAAGAGAUUCGUUGUCCAGUGAGUGGCGGAAACUCUCGCCACUCACCAGAAUCUAUUCCGGCCGUUUAUUGCUCAUCGACGGAGAGUCCUAGCUUCGGCCGCCUAUUUCCUUGCGUCGUCGCCGAUUCCUGCACUCGGCCGCCUAGUUCCUUCCUUGCGUCGUCGCCGAUUCCUGCACUCGGCCGCCUAUUUCCUUGCCUCGUCGUCGAUUCCCGUCCACAGCCGCCGCAUUCCCCUAAAAUUGCGAUCUAACAGUUAGCUGCCAUAUCCAAGCCGGAGCUGCCGGUCAGAAUCUCUCACUUCUGUUCUUCUUCCACUCUUUCCUCUUUUUAAUUUCAUUGAUUUUGGGAUGGGAAUUCGUGACAGAGUUUCCUUUUGUUGUGCUUUGAAAAAAAUUAUGUGAGGGUAUGUUUUAGGGGUACGAGCAAUUUCUUACAUUCCUGAUCAAAUUGGUUUGAUUAGAUGAGACUUUUCGUGAUUUGGUUGUUUUGGGGAUUCAAAGUAGUAAUUUUAGCUAGCUCUAACUAUGGAGGUUUUAGCACCAAAUAUACAAGGUUUUUGUUUUGGGGCCAGAUAAGCAGUUUAUCCUUUCACUUUUUCCCAUGAAUUGCAAACCCGAAGAAGCUUAUUUAUUUGUUGCAUCAAGAAAAUGGAUAUACUAAUAAUGAUAGCAAGCUGUUUAGCCAAUUUGAUGCUUGUUCAACCUGCAUUAUUAAUUAACUGAAACUUGAUUGAAUUAGAAUGUUCGCUUCAGUUGUGAGAUUGAUUAUAGCAGUUUGUUUGAUGCUUGUGCUGCUUGUGCAAAGUAAUUGAAACAUGAAGCCUUGAAAUCUUAUCAGCCAGCUUGGCCAUCUAUUAUCUGUGAAGCCGUACAGCCUGAUCACUAUUUCUUUUAACUAAUUCUAGCUCGUUCUUGGCUUAACUGGAGACCACCUGGAAGCUUUUUUGUAUUCUUUUCAGGAUGACUUUC